ACUACGCUGAGAUGCCUGAAACUACCCGUUUAAUUAGGCCUUGCCAAGAAGACUCCCUGAUAACCAUCAACAAAGGCGGAUUUAACAGGAAAGGGGAUUGUUAUGUGCCGUAGUGUUUGUGUGGUCGUGUAUGUGUGUUUCUCUCUCUCUCCCUCUGAUUCCCCAGGUGCAGCCUGAUUGUCCCCAGGUGCAGCCUCUCCCCAGGUGCUCCGAAUUCCUAAUCAGGGCCUCCAUAUAGGCCCGGAGGAAGACUGCAGUGGGCUCUCCGUUUUUCCUCCUCUGGCUGCAUGUGUGCAGACCUGUGUGUUGCCAUUUGAUAGGAGGGGAGCUCCGUGCUAUAAUCGAUGCUGUAUAAUUCUGUGCAAAUUGGCUGGUGAGCCCGUGUUUCUUUUUUGGUCAUUAAACGACUGGUGCGUUACUAAGAGA